rfam:Canis lupus familiaris chromosome 16, whole genome shotgun sequence.
UAGGGGAGUCGAGGUUCGGCACCCCUCCCUGAGCCCAGGGUAACUCUCAAAGUGGAGGGGCA